rnacentral:rRNA from 1 species
UACGUAGGGGGCUAGCGUUGUCCGGAUUUAUUGGGCGUAAAGAGUGUGUAGGCGGCCAGGUAGGUCCGUUGUGAAAACUCGAGGCUCAACCUCGAGACGUCGGCGGAAACCCUCUGGCUAGAGUCCGGAAGAGGAGAGUGGAAUUCCUGGUGUAGCGGUGAAAUGCGCAGAUAUCAGGAAGAACACCCGUGGCGAAGGCGGCUCUCUGGGACGGUACUGACGCUGAGACGCGAAAGCGUGGGGAGCAAACAGG